UACAUAGGGUGCAAGCGUUAUUCGGAUUUAUUGGGCGUAAAGAGCUCGUAGGCGGUUCGAUAAGUCGGGUGUUAAACCCCCAGGCUCAACCUGGGGCCGCCACCCGAAACUAUCGUGACUAGAGUUUGGUAGGGGAUCACGGAAUUCCUGGUGUAGCGGUGGAAUGCGCAGAUAUCAGGAGGAACACCAGUAGCGAAGGCGGUGAUCUGGGCCAAUACUGACGCUGAGGAGCGAAAGCGUGGGGAGCGAACAGGAUUAGAUACCCUGGUAGUCCACGCCGUAAACGGUGGGCACUAGGUGUGGGGACUUUUCAACGGUUUCCGCGCCGCAGCUAACGCAUUAAGUGCCCCGCCUGGGGAGUACGGCCGCAAGGCUAAAACU
rnacentral:rRNA from 1 species